rnacentral:tRNA from 1 species
GCGUCUAUAGCUCAGUGGACAGAGCGCACCGCUCCGGACGGUGAGGCCGUCAGUUCAAAUCUGGCUAGACGCGCCA